rnacentral:rRNA from 1 species
AUUGAACGCUGGCGGCAGGCCUAACACAUGCAAGUCGAGCGGAUGAAGGGAGCUUGCUCCUGGAUUCAGCGGCGGACGGGUGAGUAAUGCCUAGGAAUCUGCCUGGUAGUGGGGGAUAACGUCCGGAAACGGGCGCUAAUACCGCAUACGUCCUGAGGGAGAAAGUGGGGGAUCUUCGGACCUCACGCUAUCAGAUGAGCCUAGGUCGGAUUAGCUAGUUGGUGGGGUAAAGGCCUACCAAGGCGACGAUCCGUAACUGGUCUGAGAGGAUGAUCAGUCACACUGGAACUGAGACACGGUCCAGACUCCUACGGGAGGCAGCAGUGGGGAAUAUUGGACGAUGGGCGAAAGCCUGAUCCAGCCAUGCCGCGUGUGUGAAGAAGGUCUUCGGAUUGUAAAGCACUUUAAGUUGGGAGGAAGGGCAGUAAGUUAAUACCUUGCUGUCUUGACGUUACCAACAGAAUAAGCACCGGCUAACUUCGUG